rnacentral:rRNA from 1 species
UACGUAGGGAGCAAGCGUUGUCCGGAAUCAUUGGGCGUAAAGCGCGCGUAGGCGGCCCCGUAAGUCCGCUGUGAAAGUCAAAGGCUCAACCUUUGAAAGCCGGUGGAUACUGUGGGGCUAGAGUACGGAAGAGGCGAGUGGAAUUCCUGGUGUAGCGGUGGAAAUGCGCAGAUAUCAGGAGGAACACCCGUGGCGAAGGCGGCUCUCUGGUACGUGACUGACGCUGAGACGCGAAAGCGUGGGGAGCGAACAGG